GACGAACGCUGGCGGCGUGCCUAAUACAUGCAAGUCGAGCGAAGUUUUUCUGGUGCUUGCACUAGAAAAACUUAGCGGCGAACGGGUGAGUAACACGUAAAGAACCUGCCUCAUAGACUGGGACAACUAUUGGAAACGAUAGCUAAUACCGGAUAACAGUAUUUCUCGCAUGAGAGAUAUUUAAAAGUUGGUUAUGCUAACACUAUGAGAUGGCUUUGCGGUGCAUUAGCUAGUUGGUGAGGUAAAGGCCCACCAAGGCGACGAUGCAUAGCCGACCUGAGAGGGUGAUCGGCCACACUGGGACUGAGACACGGCCCAGACUCCUACGGGAGGCAGCAGUAGGGAAUCUCCCGCAAUGGGCGAAAGCCUGACGGAGCAACGCCGCGUGAGUGAAGAAGGAUUUCGGUUCGUAAAGCUCUGUUGUUAGGGAAGAAUGGAUAUGUAGUAACUAUACAUGUAAGAGACGGUACCUAACCAGAAAGCCACGGCUAACUACGUG
rnacentral:rRNA from 1 species